AGCAUACUAUAUCAGACUUAGCUUCAGCAGUUAGUUUAACUCACUUUGCAAACAUUGAUGCACUGAAUCAACCACUCAUUUUGUUUAUAAAAUAAAUAGAGUAGAUGGAGAGUGAUAAACAUAAGAGAAGUAUUUAGAGAAAGAAGGAAUUGUGAAAGAGAGCAUUUGGAGCCAGCAACGAACUGAAAGCCACUACAAAAGCAGGUGGGAACAAAACGAAGCGAGUUACAAAAUAGGCAUAUCAAGGUCAAAAGCUAUUGGAGAAAGCAAUAUGAGAAGAGCUAGCAGCAGCAACAAUGGUGAGAAUAAAAAGGGUUGCAGUAGAGGACACUGGAGACCCUCUGAAGAUGAGAGACGAAACUUGUGAAGCAAUAUGGUCCGCAAAACUGGAACUUUAUUUCAGAACAUCUAGAAGGAAGAUCAGGGAAAAGUUGUAGAUUGAGAUGGUACAAUCAACUAGACCCAAACAUCAUCAAAUGGGCUGCAAUAGCCAGAUUCUUCCCAGGAAAAACUGACAACACUGUCAAGAAUCAAUUCCAUGUAUUAAUGGCCAGAAAGAAGAGGGAGCGUUUGGCACUAUUUGGUGACACAUUUGCUCAUAAUCCUCUAACUAAUCUUAGGAUUGCGAUAUGGUAACAAUUAAAAUUUGAAAACAAUUUAACAACGGUCACGUAUUAGUUUUUUAUUGGAAGGUAAGAUUUUAUUUUUUUUUGCAGUCACUUGUGGUGAAAAGAAAAGCAGAUUUACUUUUUUGAGAUUCCAAAAUUACUCCUCUAUGCACCCUCCAUUUUCAACUCAGAUUUCAUUCCUCUCUCUUUUCAUUUCGGUCUUCUCGCCAACCUCCAUCAAAACUGUACUUUGUCCAACUCAUUGUGGAGCAAAGACCCCAUGUGGGUGUUUCAGCAAGGUAGUUCAAAUGCCUCAACAUUGGAAGCCAAGAGAUGCUCCAGUAAUUGAUUACAUGGUGCUUGCAACCGAUUACUAGUGGCUUAAUAGGUACCCAAUUGGGAUAACGUGACCCCAUGGUGAUUUUACUGUGCUUAAGGCUGCCUUUGUCCAUUGUUUUUAAUGGAUGACUCCUGUUGGUCAUGGUUGAUGGUUGCAAGUGUAUCAAAACUCAUCUUUGUCCAGUCUAUUAUGGAGCAAAGACCCCAUGUGAGUAUUUCAGCAAGGUAGUUAGAGUCCCUCAGCACUUGAAGCCGAUACAUGCCUUACAGUGGCUUAAUGGCUAUUUGUACAAAAACUUGCAAG